UACGUAGGGUGCUAGCGUUGUCCGGAUUUAUUGGGCGUAAAGGGCUCGUAGGCGGCGUGUCGCGUCGGGGAGUGAAAGCCCGCUGCUUAACGGCGGGUUGGCUUCCGGUACGGGCAUCGCUGGAGUGCGGCAGGGGAGACUGGAAUUCCUGGUGUAGCGGUGGAAUGCGCAGAUAUCAGGAGGAACACCGGUGGCGAAGGCGGGUCUCUGGGCCGUUACUGACGCUGAGGAGCGAAAAGCGUGGGGGAGCGAACAGG
rnacentral:rRNA from 1 species